CUCCAGACUCCUACGGGAGGCAGCAGUGGGGAAUAUUGCACAAUGGGGGAAACCCUGAUGCAGCGACGCCGCGUGAGCGAAGAAGUAUUUCGGUAUGUAAAGCUCUCUCAGCAGGGAAGAAAUUGACGGUACCUGACUAAGAAGCCCCGGCUAACUACGUGCCAGCAGCCGCGGUAAUACGUAGGGGGCAAGCGUUAUCCGGAUUUACUGGGUGUAAAGGGGGCGCAGACGGCAGCGCAAGCCAGGAGUGAAAGCCCGGGGCCCAACCCCGGGACUGCUCUUGGAACUGCGCGGCUGGAGUGCAGGAGGGGCAGGCGGAAUUCCUGGUGUAGCGGUGAAAUGCGUAGAUAUCAGGAGGAACACCGGUGGCGAAGGCGGCCUGCUGGACUGCGACUGACGUUGAGGCCCGAAAGCGUGGGGAGCAAACAGGAUUAGAUACCCCAGUAUGG
rnacentral:rRNA from 1 species